GGCCGAAGUCCAAGCUACACAAGAGGCCAGAAAUUUAAGUUCUCAUUUCUAACACUGGGGAGGUAGACUCAUAAUGUGGGAAUUCCUCCAAAUAGAAAUACUAUUCAAAAUAUGAUUUGUCAGCCAUGAAUACGACUAUGCUGACUACAGCAAGCAACAAAUGAAAACAAUAACAAUUAUGUCUUUCUCCUUCUUCUCUCCUACCUCUUCUAAGCCUAUCUUUGUCAAGUUGUCUGUGUAUUCCUUUAUCUUGUCGGCUUUGCAGGGUGAAAAGAUGAAACUACUGAAGACCAACAGGCUUCCUGUCUCUUGUGAAGCCUAUGCUCACUGAGGAAGCUACAGUGGGGCAGAGGAGGUAGGAGGGGCUGCCUUUGAGCCUGAUAAAGGAGAAAAAAUACUACUGGGAGGGGAAUGGAAGUUGGCCAAGUUCCUUGACAAGAGGAGAUGCAUGCUCUCCUUUGCUCAGAGGACAAAGGAAAUAAUGGUGCCUCAAAGAGUAUGGCUGUCCUGGAGACUGGAGCUCUGGUCAUCACAACAUUCCAUGUGUCCUACAAGGCACAGAAGCUGCAGAGCAACACAAAGGAUCCUGCGGGCUUGAACAAGGGGCUCGAACAAAAAGCAGUUACUCCACAGAAGACCAGAGGGGUCCUCCCAGCAUUGUGGCUCUAUGAGGAAACUGAGACCCAGAGAUGGAACUGGGAUUCAAAACAAUGUCUAGUGUGACUCCAGAGCCUUUCCUAACUCCUACUUAAAGCCUCUGAGGAAUGCUGAAAAGAGCACAGGACAUAGAAUCCAGAUUAAAAUGAUGAAAGUCAUCAACCUUAAAAGAAGCAAAAAAGAAGAGAAUUAGCUCCUCUGUGUAAUUUUUUUAAAUAUAGCAUCAAACCAUCUUCCCGUCAGCAACAGGCACUGCAGUAUUGAAGAUCAUCACAUGAGGGCAGAGGGCGUAAAAAAGGAUGGUGUGUUGAGACCAGAAGCAGCAGCAGUCCUCGACAUCAACUACAACUUUCCUUCGCACAGUGCAUACCCUCUGAUAUACUGAACCCAACGCCUAUCCUCCAGCCCCCUAAGAACUAGAGAGGGAGCCUCACAACAUUCCAAUUUAAUCCUUCAGAAAAUUCAUUACUCUUCAAAGUUGUCUGUGGUUUUGUGACAACGAUAUGACUAGGUGCAAAAUGGCUUGCAACUAAUUAACAAACAUAGAAGCAUCCAACAAACAUAUACGUGCACAAUCUGAGGAUUUAGGGAUGAAAUCAGUUAUCCAGGUUAGAUAUCAACAAAAGAGCAGUAAUUAUAAAGUUUCAUGAAGAAAGUGGCUGUUGAGGUGUGGAUUAUGUAAGUAAGACUGACAACAAGAAAUGAUUUUGUUAUAAUCCAGAAGUAAAACUAAAUAAAUGUUCUUUAAAUUGAUGGAUAAAUAAGAAAGAAUUUAUUUACAACAGUAAAUAAAUCCAAUACUUGUUAUAAAUAAGAUAAAGCUGGCUAUAAAUUCACAUUUUCAUGUGAGCGUUUUGAAGUAUGUGGACAUAAAAAACACACACCUCAAGCAUACUUCUCAAUGAUUUCUGAUAAAGAACACACCUUUGUAACCAGCACAUGGUGUAAAACCAGAAACAGAACAUUACCAGAUUCCUAAACAAGCCUUCUUUGUGCCCCUUUUUAGUCACUACCCUCCCCCAUUCAAGGUAACUUCUAUCUUGACUUCUAACACCACACUUUUAGUUUUGCCUAUUGUUAACUUGAUAUAAAUAGAAUGAUACUGUAUAUUUUGUGUGUGUUUGGCUUCUUCUGCUCCAACUUUUGUUGGUAAGGUUUAUACAGAUUAUUAAAUAUAGCUAUAGUUCAUUUAUUUCUAUUACUAUGCAGUAUACUUGGAUUCAGGAAUACACCAUAACUUAAUCAUCCAUUCUAUUGUUGACUGGUUUGGCAAUUUUCUAAACAUACGCAAAUUCUAUGAACCAGCAAUUCUAUCCCGUGUAUGUGUAUAUAUACACACAUGUUAAAUAUAUACACAGAAACAUGCUGUGAAAGUGCUUUGCAAAUGGCAAAAUGUAAAAUGUAAGGAAUGUUACCAAAGAGCUGAAACGCACUGUGUCUUUCUUGCAACACAGAUUCUUGGACAUAUCAGAUAAUAAAUGUAUUUUGUAUUGAAAAUAAGAUAUUGCCACUGUUGCGCUCAGAAAUUACUAUAAGAAUUCAACGGUUGUGGGAGGAAAAGGCAGAGGAGUACUUAUCUGCAGGAAAUCUGCUGGGGCACGGCAGGUCUCAGGGACUUGUGUCUACAUGAAAACUUGAGACUUCUGAAAGAAGUGGAUACGAAAGCAGCAUGCUCAGCCCCAAAACACAAGAAAUGAAGUUCCCACAAAAUGGGAGAUUACAGAAUCCUUAACUUGACCAGAAACUCAAGUUAAGUGGGGAAAAGGUCUACAUGCUAAAGUUUGGGUCUGGUAAACAGGGUGGUAAUAGUCAAUGAGGAGGAUUAGUGUUGGAUGUCAUAGUAAAUACAGCCAUUUGUUGUCCUGUUCUAUGGCUCAAACGCAGGGAAUUUAUCCCUGGUUCCUCACGAGAAAAUUGUAAGAACCUUAAAAAGCAAACAUUAGGCCGGGCGUGAUGGCUCACGCCUGUAAUCCCAGCACUUUGGGAGGCCAAGGCAGGCAGAU
rnacentral:lncRNA from 1 species